AGAAACAGAAAGAAACACAGAGGAAGAGAGAAGGAGAAACCAAGAGUGACACACAUGUUCCGCUGCUCAUGAAGGUUCUUUCCUCCACAGCCACCAAGCUGCAUUUGCUACCAUGAUGCCAGCCUGGACAUAUGACCUCACCAAUGUGCUCUGGAACCCCACCUCCCCAGACCCUCUGCCCUCCCAGGGAAAGAUAGAAACAGGCUGGGAGCAUGGAUUGACUUUCCAAUGCCCAUGUCCAGGAGAGAAGCAAUUACAGAAGCCAGACCUUUCAUGUUUGCAUCCCAUGAUGAUCCUGGGUCCAUACUCCCAGAGGGAUAAAGAAUAGGAAAGCUUACAAUGGAGGAGAUGGGACAUGGAACUCUGGUGGUGAAAAGUGUACCCCUCUUAUCCUAUGGUCUUGUCAGUAUUUUUAUAUAAAAAAAAAAUCCUAGAACCAUCAAAUAAAAAAAGUUACUUUAUAGAGAAUCAGUGAUAUCUUAAGGUGAUAAGAGAACCAAAUUUACAACUCAGUCUCUUAGUUCCCAGUUAAAUAUUUUUGCUAUGUCCCCACACUGCUCUUCAAGAUUAAAAAAAAAAUGGUAGCAGCAUACCACCCACUUCCCAUAGUAGAUAAUUAGCCCUUCUGAAGCUGGCAAACUCCUACAGUCAUACCCUAUGUUCAUGCUUUGGCAAUGUUACUCAGCGUAGCUAUAUCUAUUUCCCUAACUGUAAAAAUCUACUAGUAUUUGCAGACACACAUUAAAUCAGUAAAAGUAAAAAAAAUAUAUAAAUAUUUUUUAAAGAAUCUACUAAAACUAGUACAUAUAUAUAUAUAUAUAUAUACACAUAUAUAUAUUCAGAGUUUUCUGUCUCUUUAAUUAAAAUAGUGUUUUCAGAAUAAGAAAAUCUUCAAUGCCAAUUCUGGGAGAUACAGUUUAGAUCUGGCACUGGUGUUACAGAACCCUGAAAUUUAUCUUCACCUAUGUUACAUUUGAGAUAAUCCACCAAUGUAGUAUGUAUGAAAAUAAAGGUAUAUAAGAAA